CCUACGGGUGGCAGCAGUGAGGAAUAUUGGUCAAUGGUCGGGAGACUGAACCAGCCAAGCCGCGUGAGGGAUGAAGGUACAGAGUAUCGUAAACCUCUUUUGUCAGGGAACAAAGGCGGGGACGUGUCCCCGGAUGAGUGUACCUGAAGAAUAAGCACCGGCUAACUACGUGCCAGCAGCCGCGGUAAUACGUAGGGUGCGAGCGUUAAUCGGAAUUACUGGGCGUAAAGGGUGUGCAGGCGGUUUUGCAAGAUGGAUGUGAAAGCCCCGGGCUUAACCUGGGAAAGCCAUACAUGACUGGAAGACUAGAGUGCGUGAGAGGGAGGUGGAAUUCCAAGUGUAGCAGUGAAAUGCGUAGAUAUUUGGAAGAACACCGAUGGCGAAGGCAGCCCCCUGGGACGCAACUGACGCUCAUACACGAAAGCGUGGGGAGCAAACAGGAUUAGAUACCCCAGUAGUC
rnacentral:rRNA from 1 species